rnacentral:rRNA from 1 species
CGCGGCCUAUCAGCUUGUUGGUGAGGUAAAGGCUCAGCAAGGCAUUGACGGGUAGCUGGUCUGAGAGGACGAUCAGCCACACUGGGACUGAGACACGGCCCAGACUCCUGCGGGAGGCAGCAGUGGGGAAUCUUGCGCAAUGGGCGAAAGCCUGACGCGGCAACGCCGCGUGGGGGAUGAAGGCUCUCGGGUUGUAAACCCCUUUCAGCAGGGACGAAAUUGACGGUACCUGUAGAAGAAGCCCCGGCCAACUACGUGCCAGCAGCCGCGGUAACACGUAGGGGGCGAGCGUUGUCCGGAAUUAUUGGGCGUAAAGGGCUCGUAGGCGGUUCGGUAAGUCAGAUGUGAAAGGUUGGGGCUCAACCCUAAGACUGCAUUUGAUACUGCCGUGACUAGAGUCCGGUAGAGGAGUGUGGAAUUCCUGGUGUAGCGGUGAAAUGCGCAGAUAUCAGGAGGAACACCGACGGCGAAGGCAGCACUCUGGGCCGGUACUGACGCUGAGGAGCGAAAGCGUGGGUAGCAAACAGGAUUAGAUACCCUGGUAGUCCACGCCGUAAACGUUGGGCACUAGGUGUGGGACCUUAUCAACGGGUUCCGUGCCGUAGCUAACGCAUUAAGUGCCCCGCCUGGGGAGUACGG